ensembl:lncRNA
CUCUUCUUGGAUAUCACUCUCCAUGGAGUUUUUGCAAGCCUACACCACUGCAAGAAGAAAGCUGAAGUCCAACUGCUGGUUUCUUCUUAUCACAUCACCUACCUUAAGUGAUGUGUUUUUGAGAAUCCUGUUGAUGGGGAAAGGUCUGCACAUGAGCUGAUAUGCCCUCCAGCUUCUCCUCUUUUGGAGCCCUGGCAUCCUGCUCUGCUCACGUGUUUCCUGGGAGAGAACUAAGCUUGCCUGCGUGGCCCUGGCUUCUUUCUCCUUGUCCUGAGAAGCUAAUCUUCAUGAUUAUUGUCACCAAUUCAAGCUCAUCCAAGUCACUGGCUUUGAGGAUACUUGAAAUACUGCUUUCACUGUUUCCGAGACCCAGAUGUACUAGCUUGAAACAUUUAUGCUAUUAAAAGAGCUGUGAGAAAUGUUGGAUGAGGCUGCUGUUGACUUUGCAGCCAAGAUUUCACCCUUUCACUCUAAGACUUUCUUUCAAACUUCGGAUCGGUCCAUGGACUGACAGAUUUAUUUUCCCCCACCCCCAAAAUCUGAUUUGCAAAUAUAAUGUUCCACCAAAUAUAAUGUUCCAGUCAGGCUGCAAUUGCCUCUGAUUGGAAUAGUGCGAGGGAAAUCAGGCUGCAUAAGGCUUUAUUUUGUAUCAUUAAAUGAAAUGCUAGGAUUACAUAAAAUAUCAACCAAAAUGUCAUGGGUUUAUACCUUAAGCACAUCAUUCAUUAAUUGUUAUUUGGUAUUUCCCUGAAGGUGGAAAGUAUGUUAGGCAGCAGAGAAGAAACAAUGGUCUGAUCAAUCACGGGCUCCUUGAAUUGCAAAUAAGAACUAGCAACUAGCUCAGCAAACGUUCCCACCAGUGUCUGUAAUGCUGAACUGUUGAGCUUUCUGCAGCUCUCUCAUGUCAUUCUUGUAAUUCUUUACAUAACAUACAUGCUUAAAUCUUUUGCACUUUUUUUUUGACGCUGCCAGUAAGAAAAUAUAAGACUGUGUGAAAUUGAAUGCAGUUAGCCCCCAGCAAAAUGGUAUUCUUUGAGCUCUAGAGACUUUUGAAGUAGAUAUGCUCCACCUUCAGAUCUGGGCACUGUCCGUCACGUCAGAGCCAGGAUGACAUGUCACUGACAGAAGCCCUCCGUUAGCUCUCUAUUACACCUGAGUUUCAAGCAGAUAUUAUCUUUCACAUUAUGACAAGAAACUAGUAGCAGUCUUAAAAACAGAGCUAAGAUGCUGAUGUAGUCAAACACUUGGCGUUCUUACAGCUAUCUCCUAAGAAAGUGAAUGUGUAGCUGGGUGUUAUCCCCCUCUAUCUGUGACAAACAAACACCAGUGCAACUAAACUGGGAUCUAAGCACGUCAGUGUCAUCCAUGCCUCUGUGACACAGCUGUCGUGCCGAGAGCUACCAGAAGGGUCUGCCUUUGCUGCUGCAGUGAUGCUGCAGGGGACAUCUGCAGCUCCCCAUGGUCUCCUCUUCCAAUACGGAGAAAUCUCAGAUGUUCCAGGCACAGAGCAGCAACAAAUAAUGCCUUGAUUCCCCAAGGUUUUCUUUUUGCAAUCUGAGAAAUCAUCUAACAAGUUUCUGCCAUGUGUUUGAAAGAGAAGCAUUCAGUGAGUUAUGUGAAUGUUCCCCUCUUUGUCUCAGUCUCACUAUCAAAUUGAGUCUGAAUGCCUUCUCUGGAACUAUGCUUCAGGCAAACCAAAGCCAUUAAGUCCUACCUGGAUUCCUGGUGGAAAUGUAAAGGACUGGGGGAGAGAUGCAAUGACAGGCCAGAUAACUUAAUCUUCUGCCUAUAAGCACGUUAUUACUACCAAUGAAAAGCUCAACAUAACGUGGUUUGAGCUGGUGCAUCCAAGUAAGGCGGGCUUUGUUCAGCAGCACUUUAUAGUUAUAGGUGUGCUGCUGAUGGUUUUAAUUUUGUUGAAAUCUGGGUGCUGAAAAGGGCUGAAAUGUUUUAUUUCCCUGAUUUUGGGUAAGGGCACGUCUAAGCAGAAAGCCCUUUGGGACAAGACUUUUCCGCACCCUUUGUUUUACCUAAAAACGUGGCAAAAUUACACUUCAUUUUUGAUUCAGCAAUUGAUGAAGAAUAAAAUUGGAUAGCAAC